rnacentral:rRNA from 1 species
UUUUCCUACGGGGGGCAGCAGUGAGGAAUAUUGGUCAAUGGGCGGGAGCCUGAACCAGCCAAGUCGCGUGAGGGAAGACGGUCCUAUGGAUUGUAAACCUCUUUAGGCGGGGAGCAAUGCCGGGCACGCGUGCCCGGAGGGAGAGUACCCGCAGAAUAAGCAUCGGCUAACUCCGUGCCAGCAGCCGCGGUAAUACGGAGGAUGCGAGCGUUAUCCGGAUUUAUUGGGUUUAAAGGGUGCGCAGGCGGUCUGUUAAGUCAGCGGUCAAAGCCCGGGGCUCAACCCCGGC